rnacentral:rRNA from 1 species
ACACAUAUUUUAGUUGUUGUUGAUUACGUUACUAAGUGGGUAGAAGCUAUUUCAACUAGUAGUGCUGAUCAUAACACUUCUAUUAAAAUGCUUAAAGAAGUUAUUUUUCUGAGGUUUGGAGUCCCUAGAUAUCAUAUGACUGAUGGUGGUUCACACUUUAUUCAUGGUGCUUUCCGUAAGAUGCUUGCUAAGUAUGAUGUCAAUCAUAGAAUCACAUCUCCUUAUCAUCCGCAGUCUAGUGGUCAAGUAGAGUUGACCAAUACAGAGCUCAAACUAAUUUUGCAAAAGACUAUGAAUAGGUCUAGAAAGAAUUGGUCCAAAAAACUUGAUGAUGCAUUAUGGGCCUAUAGAACUGCAUACAAAAAUCCUAUGGGUAUGUCUCCAUAUAAGAUGGUUUAUGGAAAAGCAUGUCAUUUACCUCUUGAACUUGAACAUAAAGCAUAUUGGGCUAUUAAAGAGCUCAAUUAUGACUUCAAACUUGCCGGUGAGAAGAGGUUGUUUGAUAUUAGCUCACUUGAUGAAUGG